GCCUUUUAGGUUGCCGGUCAGCUGAAAUACAUUCACGCUCUGGGGGCUGCUUUCCUUCCGAGGAGAGGCGAGUUCCGAUUUGGUAGGUGACCUUUGCCGGUUGCAUGCCUUCGUUGCCCGCUAAGCUUCCCAGUAUGCGUUGUGCAGGACGCCUUUUGGCUUUCGACCUGAGGUCAGGCAAGAACACCCGCUGAACUUAA
rnacentral:misc_RNA from 1 species